GAUGAAGAACGUAGCGAAAUGCGAUAAGUAGUGUGAAUUGCAGAAUUCAGUGAAUCAUCGAAUCUUUGAACGCACAUUGCGCCCUUUGGUAUUCCAAAGGGCAUGCCUGUUCGAGCGUCAUUUGUACCCUCAAGCUUUGCUUGGUGUUGGGCGUCUUGUCUCUAGCUUUGCUGGAGACUCGCCUUAAAGUAAUUGGCAGCCGGCCUACUGGUUUCGGAGCGCAGCACAAGUCGCACUCUCUAUCAGCAAAGGUCUAGCAUCCAUUAAGCCUUUUUUUCAACUUUUGACCUCGGAUCAGGUAGGGAUACCCGCUGAACUUAAGCAUAUCAAUAGGCGGAGGA
rnacentral:misc_RNA from 1 species